rnacentral:tRNA from 1 species
GCGGAAGUAGCUCAGUUGGUAGAGCAUCACCUUGCCAAGGUGAGGGUCGCGGGUUCAAGUCCCGUCUUCCGCUCCA